CAGUAGCCGCGGUAAUACGUAGGGAGCAAGCGUUGUUCGGAUUUACUGGCGUAAAGGGCGCGUAGGCGGCGCGGUAAGUCACUUGUGAAAUCUCUGAGCUUAACUCAGAACGGCCAAGUGAUACUGCUGUGCUAGAGUGCGGAAGAGGCAACCGGAAUUCUUGGUGUAGCGGUGAAAUGCGUAGAUAUCAAGAGGAACACCUGAGGCGAAGGCGGGUUGCUGGGCCGACACUGACGCUGAUGCGCGAAAGCCAGGGGAGCAAACGGGAUUAGAUACCCCCGUAGUCCCUGUCUCUUAUACA
rnacentral:rRNA from 1 species